GAGUUUGAACCUGGCUCAGAGUGAACGCUGGCGGCGUGCCUAAUACAUGCAAGUCGAACGAUGAAUCUUCUAGCUUGCUAGAAGUGGAUUAGUGGCGCACGGGUGAGUAAUGCAUAGGUUAUGUGCCCUUUAGUCUGGGAUAGCCACUGGAAACGGUGAUUAAUACUGGAUACUCCCUACGGGGGAAAGUUUUUCGCUAAAGGAUCAGCCUAUGUCCUAUCAGCUUGUUGGUGAGGUAAUGGCUCACCAAGGCUAUGACGGGUAUCCGGCCUGAGAGGGUGAUCGGACACACUGGAACUGAGACACGGUCCAGACUCCUACGGGAGGCAGCAGUAGGGAAUAUUGCUCAAUGGGGGAAACCCUGAAGCAGCAACGCCGCGUGGAGGAUGAAGGUUUUAGGAUUGUAAACUCCUUUUGUUAGAGAAGAUUAUGACGGUAUCUAACGAAUAAGCACCGGCUAACUCCGUGCCAGCAGCCGCGGUAAUACGGAGGGUGCAAGCGUUACUCGGAAUCACUGGGCGUAAAGAGUGCGUAGGCGGGGUAAUAAGUCAGAUGUGAAAUCCUGUAGCUUAACUACAGAACUGCAUUUGAAACUGUUACUCUGGAGUGUGGGAGAGGUAGGUGGAAUUCUUGGUGUAGGGGUAAAAUCCGUAGAGAUCAAGAGGAAUACUCAUUGCGAAGGCGACCUGCUGGAACAUUACUGACGCUGAUGCACGAAAGCGUGGGGAGCAAACAG
rnacentral:rRNA from 1 species